CGUAGGGGCCGAGCGUUGUCCGGAGUUACUGGGCGUAAAGCGCGCGCAGGCGGCUGUUCAAGCCUGACGUGAAAGCCCCCGGCUCAACCGGGGAGGGUCGUCGGGGACUGGGCAGCUUGAGGUCGGCAGGGGCUGGUGGAAUUCCCGGUGUAGUGGUGAAAUGCGUAGAGAUCGGGAGGAACACCCGUGGCGAAGGCGGCCAGCUGGGCCGGACCUGACGCUGAGGCGCGAAGGCGUGGGGAGCGAACGGGAUUAGAUACCCCGGUAGUCCACGCAGUAAACGAUGCAGACUAGGCGUGGGGGGACUUGACCCCCUCCGUGCCGAAGCCAACGCGUGAAGUCUGCCGCCUGGGGAGUACGGCCGCAAGGCUA
rnacentral:rRNA from 1 species